AAUUGCUCUCCACCCAGUGCCCCGGGGACCAGAGUGCCCAGGGCAUUAGCCUCGCUGGCCCUGCAGGGGACAGGGAAUCUUCUCCUUGCUUUGGCCCUGAUCCCAAUCCUGGUAAGCAACAGAAGCAACUGCUGCGUCUCAGCUACAACCUGGAGCCAGAGGGUUGGCCCUGCCUGCCUCCCCUCAGAGUGUGUGGCAGUGUGGACACCCUGAGCAGUGUGACCUUAGUCGCAGGGAGCCUAGAUACCACCCAGGGACAUGUAUCUUGGUGACUGCAGCAAGAUAUACACAGAGGCAAGGAGACUGCAGAAACUUCGACUUUGGUAAGCUCAGCCAAAAGGCUUUUCAUGUCUUUAUUCCUUUCCUCUCUCUCCCUGUCUCAAAUCCUUUAACUUUUUCCUGGUACUAGUUAGCAGGGAGAGGCAGGGAACUGGAGAGUGGAGGAGCAUAGUGAGAGGGGGGAAAGGGAUGCCUGUGGUCUGCGUGUUUCAGGAGCACGCAGCCAGCUGGAAGGGCACCGCUUCAGCAAGCCCUUCUCAGCUGUCUGCCGCUGCCUUCCCCAGUCCUAGCACUGCGGUGCUUCUUGUCCAGUCCCUUCUCGGUGUUGCUUCCCUAAUCUAGUUUAUUUCCUCCUUCCCUCAUAUUUGAUGUCUGUAUUCUUACAAUUUUGGCUGUAAGUUUAUCUCCCUGUCUAAAUUGAUACGUGCUCGGUAGUUACUAAGUUACAUUUCUGGACUUUUUAAACCCUCUGUGAGUUCCGUGUGUGUGUGUGUGUGUGUGUGUGUGUGUGUGUGUGUGUGUGUGUGUUACAGUUUCCCUAAAUAUAAAGAUCGUUGUAGUAGAG
ensembl:lncRNA